GAGAAAGCAAGGGUCCUUCACGUAUUCUUGAUGGAUCUCUCGUAGUUUUCAGGGAUAACAACUUGGGUUGUUAUUGGGUGAACCUCUGGAGUUUAACAUCCAUGAUAGAUGGUUCAGUAAACAACUCAACAUUU
rnacentral:snoRNA from 1 species